rnacentral:rRNA from 1 species
AAAUUAGCGGAUGACCUGUGGCUGGGGGUGAAAGGCCAAUCAAACCGGGAGAUAGCUGGUUCUCCCCGAAAGCUAUUUAGGUAGCGCCUCGUGAAUUCAUCUUCGGGGGUAGAGCACUGUUUCGGCUAGGGGGCCAUCCCGGCUUACCAACCCGAUGCAAACUACGAAUACCGAAGAAUGUUAUCACGGGAGACACACGGCGGGUGCUAACGUCCGUCGUGAAGAGGGAAACAACCCAGACCGCCAGCUAAGGUCCCAAAGUCAUGGUUAAGUGGGAAACGAUGUGGGAAGGCACAGACAGCCAGGAUGUUGGCUUAGAAGCAGCCAUCAUUUAAAGAAAGCGUAAUAGCUCACUGGUCGAGUCGGCCUGCGCGGAAGAUGUAACGGGGCUAAACCAUGCACCGAAGCUGCGGCAGCGACGCUUAUGCGUUGUUGGGUAGGGGAGCGUUCUGUAAGCCGUUGAAGGUGUGCUGUGAGGCAUGCUGGAGGUAUCAGAAGUGCGAAUGCUGACAUAAGUAACGAUAAAGCGGGUGAAAAGCCCGCUCGCCGGAAGACCAAGGGUUCCUGUCCAACGU